rnacentral:lncRNA from 1 species
GCUGAUCCCUUUCGCUGUAUGGCGUGCUCGUUUGGGUUGGGCGUUGGCUAAGAGUGCUCGGAGUGUGGAUUAACUCUAGUCUCCUAUCAGGUGUGUAUUUCUCACUACUCUAGCUGUAGGAUGGCUAAUUCAGGCAGCGAUGGGCCGAAAGGGGCCAUGUGGGCCCAAUGGGCCUACGGGCCCAAUUGGAUAAGUUGUUUGAUUGUGUAGUAAAUAUUGGACUAGGCUAGGUGAAUCUUAUAUCUGUGGCUAGAUUUGGGCUAAAAGGGCCACAUGAGCGUGUGGGCCCAUUUGGGCCGAGAAGGGCUUUAGGCUCAUUCGUAUUGUUAUCCCUGUUUAGAAUACUUUAGUUUAUCAAAUUACUGAAAUACCCUCGACUUGUAAAAUUACCAAAGUACCCCUAAUUUAUAAAAUUACCCAAAUAUUCUUGAUUUGUAAAAUUAUUGAAAUACCCUUGGUUUACAAAAUUACCCAAAUAUUCUCGAUUUGUAAAAUUACUGAAAUACCCUUGGUUUACAAAAUUACCAAAAUACCCUCGAUCAAUAAAAUUACUAAAAUACCCCUGGUUUGUAAAAUUACUAAAAUACCCCUUGAUUUGUAAAAUUACUGAAAUACCCUCGACUUGUAAAAAUUAUCAAAGUACCCUCGAUUUAUAGAAUUACUAUUUUACCCUCGAUUUACAGAAUUACUGUUUUACCCUUGAUUUACAAAAUUAUCGUUUUACCCUCGAAUAUGAAAUUACUAAAAUACCCCUAUAGGGUAGAAUUACCAAAACACCCCUAGUUUGUAAAGUUACCAAAAUACCACUGGUUUGUUCUCAAUUUGUAAAAUUACCAAAAUACCCCUGAUUUACAAAAUUACAAAAAUACCCUUGAUUUGUAGAUUUACCAAAACACCCUUGUAGGAUGAAAAGACUAAAAUACCCCUAAUAGGUAAAAAGACCGUAAAGUCGCUGUAGGGUAAAGUGACCGUAAUACCCUUGUAUGGUAAAAUGAUGAAUACGCCCUUAUGUUCCGUAUGACUGAUGUGCUUAGGAUUUACAUAUAUUGAUAUUGGAAUAGUUAAGUUUGAGUGACAGGUGGUGGUAAUCGUAAGUGGUUGAUUAUGGCAACGUUUCAACUUCAACCCGUAACAGGUGUGUACUAACCCUGGUAAUAGCUUAGACUAAUAUUUGCUGAGAAGUCGAAAUGCUAAAAUACCGGUAUUUCGAGAACUUGUGAUUUUUCCUUUUCUUAAAGUGCUAUAGAUAUGAUAUGAUCGGUGGUUGGAUCGAUGGAACAGGUAAGAGCACAAUUUUGUGCACGAUGGUAAGUUGGGCCUCAAUGGGCUGGAAUUGGGCCCAAUGGGCUUUCGGGCCCAUUUGGGUAAAAUUGAUAGAAAAUGAAAUUUGGAAAAGUUGCAUGAUAACACGGUUAGUACUGUUGUAAAAUUUGGAUUAAGCAGGCUUAGUGGGCUAAAUUGGCAUUCGUAGGGCCCGUUAGAGGUUUUGGGCCCAAAAGCUCGAGUUUGAUAAGUGGGUUAAAGAUCAUUAUUUAAACACUCGGAAAUAUUGAAAAUUGUUGAUAAACAUGAAAAACCCUGAUAUUUGGUAAAAUUAUGAAAUUACCCUUAUAGUAUGAAAAUGACUGUUUUGCCCCUAGGUAAAAAUGACUAUUAUACCCCUAGGGUUUAAUUAUAAAUUUGAUACGUGGGAUAUGAUAUACAUGAUUAAUAUGAUAUGCACAUGAUAUGUAUAAAAUGCACAUGAUAUGUAUGAAAUGCACAUGAUAUGUAUGAAAUGCACAUGAUGUAUUCAUAAAUGCAUUGGGUUGGGUUUUUAUAUGGAUGGAGGAAGUGCAAAAGGGCAUAUGCCCCAGUUUAUUGAAAAGGGCUUGUGCCCCAGUUUACCGAAAAGGGCUUAUGCCCCAGUUUAUUGAAAAGGGCUUUGCCCCAGUUUACCGAAAAGGGCUUUGCCCCAGUUAUUAAAAGAGGCUAGGCCUCCAAAUAUAUGAUAAAGCAGUUAUGCUGCCAGUGGUGUGUUGGUUGGGUGGGUUGAAUCAUUCCCCACAUGGUGUGUUAGUUGGCACAGAUGGAGAGUAGCGGAUGGUGGGUCGAGUAGUCUCCCCAAAUGGGCUUGUAUACAUUCAUUGGUAUUUCAUAUGAUAUUGAAAUGGGCUUGCAUACAUCCAUUGACAUUACAUGUGAUAUUGAAAUGGGCCUAUGGGCCACACCGUUUAUAGUAAAGGCUUCGGCCUAGUGAAAUGAUUUAUGAAAAGGUUUCAGCCCAGUGAUAUGAUUUAUGAAAAGGCUCGGCCUAGUGAUAUGAUUUAUGAAAAGGCUUCGGCCCAGUAACCGUUAAACGAAAGGCUUCGACCCAGUAUAUGUCAAGACUAAAUAGGGCUUUGGCCCAGAUUGUACUGAUACUGUGUUUUCACUGUUUGUAUGUUAUUGGGAUUACACACUGAGUUUUCGUAAACUCACCCUGUCUCUAACUGUGCAGGUAAUCCCUAAGCUUAGAUGGUUUGGAGUGCGAGGGACUCGGAGAUGGCCACACUACUGUUUCUGUUUCUUUUAAUUACAAAAGUAGCCGAUUUAUUUCUUUAUAAGUUUUAUGUUAUUAAUAUUAUUAUUUGGUUUUGGGUUGUAAUAAGGCCAUUUUAAUUAUUUUUCUGGGAUUAUUUUAUUUUAUACCCUAUAUUUUACUGAUAACAAUCCAAAAUGGGUUAGACUUAGGC